UAGCAGAGGUGGUCUCUUUGGCACAAC
rnacentral:piRNA from 1 species